rnacentral:rRNA from 1 species
GUGGGGAAUAUUGGACAAUGGGCGCAAGCCUGAUCCAGCAAUGCCGCGUGGGUGAAGAAGGCCUUCGGGUCGUAAAGCUCUGUCAUCAGGGACGAACGGCCGGUGGAGUGGAAAGCCACCGGAUUGACGGUACCUGAGAAGGAAGCCACGGCUAACUCCGUGCCAGCAGCCGCGGUAAUACGGAGGAUCCAAGCGUUAUCCGGAUUUAUUGGGUGUAAAGGGUGCGUAGGCGGCCUGUUAAGUCAGGGGUGAAAGACGGUGGCUCAACCAUCGCAGUGCCCUUGAUACUGAUGGGCUUGAAUGGACUAGAGGUAGGCGGAAUGUGACAAGUAGCGGUGAAAUGCAUAGAUAUGUCACAGAACACCGAUUGCGAAGGCAGCUUACUAUGGUCCUAUUGACGCUGAGGCACGAAAGCGUGGGGAUCGAACAGGAUUAGAAACCCUAGUAGUCC